UACAGAGGCCUCGAGCGUUAGGCGGAAUCACUGGGCUUAAAGCGUGUGUAGGCGGACUUCUAAGUACCUUGUGAAAUCCCACGGCUUACCCGUGGAACGGCUGGGUAUACUGGUUGUCUUGAGCCACUUAGGGGCUACCGGAACAAAUGGUGGAGCGGUGAAAUGCGUAGAUAUCAUUUGGAACGCUAAUGGUGAAAACAGGUAGCUGGGAGUGUGCUGACGCUGAGACACGAAAGCCAGGGGAGCGAACGGG
rnacentral:rRNA from 1 species